GAUGAACGCUGGCGGCGUGCCUAAUACAUGCAAGUCGAGCGAACAGACGAGGAGCUUGCUCCUCUGACGUUAGCGGCGGACGGGUGAGUAACACGUGGAUAACCUACCUAUAAGACUGGGAUAACUUCGGGAAACCGGAGCUAAUACCGGAUAAUAUAUUGAACCGCAUGGUUCAAUAGUGAAAGACGGUUUUGCUGUCACUUAUAGAUGGAUCCGCGCCGCAUUAGCUAGUUGGUAAGGUAACGGCUUACCAAGGCAACGAUGCGUAGACGACCUGAGGGGGAGAUGCGCCACAUUGGAACUGAGACAGGGCCCAGACUCCGACGGGAGGCCGCAGUAGGGAAUCUUCCGCAAUGGGCGAGAGCGUGACGGAGCAACGCGGCGUGAGUGAUGAAGGUCUUCGGAUCGUAAAACGCUGUUAUUAGGGAAGAACAAAUGUGUAAGUAACUAUGCACGUCUUGACGGUACCUAAUCAGAAAGCCACGGCUAACUACGUG
rnacentral:rRNA from 1 species